UGUUUUAAAGCUCUUGCGCGAACAAAUCUGGGGCAACCGUAUACAUAGAUUGGGCAGAAAAUCGUUUGUUUGCUUAACAGGAUCGUAAGGAGCUCGCGGACAUCUACCGAAAAUUGGAGAAGAAGAAAAUGAAACUCGAGAAGCAGAUCUAUCUGAUUGAAUAUGAGAUACACAAAUUCGAGGAGUUGGAGAAAUGUAAUCGCCGCAAAUCGUUAAAAGUAAAUUUUAAGUAAAGUGGAAUAUCGGUCCUUCAAAGUCUAUUAGUAGAAAAAAUGUUUAUUGGUAGGUUUCUUAGUGUCAAUGUUUGUGCGUUUUUGUAAAAGGGGAAAAGCGUGUGAUUUGAGAAUUUGAGAAUUUUGCAAAUAAUUUUGGUAAGAAAGCGUUAAGUUUGUUUGAGUUGAUUUGACAAAAAUCUCUUAUUUACUUAACGAUCAUAUACUAUAUGAGUAUAAGUAUGUGUUUUGAAAUAUAAAUUAUAGUCACUUU